ensembl:lncRNA TPT1-AS1 TPT1 antisense RNA 1
AGGCCAACUCUCGGGGCGCUCCCUAGCCCUGGGUGGGUGGAGCGGGGGAAGCGGAGUACGUUGGACCCGGCUCCGCCCUACCCCACGGGGCCGCCUGGAGAGGUGCUGGGAGCUGGGUGGAGCUUAGAGGAAUUAAACUUUGGCCCUGCGCCUCGUCCAGCCUAGGUUCCACCCUUUUCUGGGAACGCUGGAGUGCAGUGGCACCAUCUCGGCUCACUGCAACCUCUGGCUCCCAGGUUCAAGCGAUUCUCCUGCCUCAGCCCCCUGAGUAGCUGGGAUUACAGGCACGCGCCACCACUCCCAGAUGGAGUUUUGCUCUUGUUGCCCAGGCUGGAGUGCAAUGGCAAGAUCUCAGCUCACCACAACCUCUGCCUUCUUUUUUCUUCUGUUUUUAAAACUUGUGUUUACACCCCGCCACUCCUGAGCACCGCACACCGGCUUCCUCCCAGUCCCUCAUCUGAGAACUCAUGAAGCCACUUGGAAUCCCUCUCUGCUUUGCCUGGCUCAUUCCAUGUCAAUUUCAGAUCUUCACUUCAGGUCAGCUCCAAGGAGGCUAUCCUUGCCCAUCUUCCUAAAAUAGAGCUCUCAAAACCUGGCUGUUUUCCUUCAGAGCACUGGCCUCCAAUUACCCCUGUCUUGGACCGCUGUCGGAUAGUAAAUCCCAAGUAAGGUACCUGCCGUCGGCAGAUUUGAGCUUUCUUCUUGGACACCUAAUACCCAGAGUCCUCCAGGCUCCGGUAGAUUGCAAAUGACCUGCUUUCUUUCUGUUCCCGGGCGGCAUCGGACCCGUCGGAGAGUAAAUCCCAAGUAAGGUACCUGCCGUUGGCAGAUUUGAGCUUUCUUCUUGGACACCUAAUACCCACAGUCCUCCAG